UACGGGGGGGGGCAAGCGUUGUUCGGAAUUACUGGGCGUAAAGGGCGCGUAGGCGGCCUGCUAAGUCGGACGUGAAAUCCCCGGGCUCAACCCGGGAACUGCGUCCGAUACUGGCAGGCUUGAAUCCGGGAGAGGGAUGCGGAAUUCCAGGUGUAGCGGUGAAAUGCGUAGAUAUCUGGAGGAACACCGGUGGCGAAGGCGGCAUCCUGGACCGGUAUUGACGCUGAGGCGCGAA
rnacentral:rRNA from 1 species